rnacentral:rRNA from 1 species
GAUGAACGCUGGCGGCGUGCCUAAUACAUGCAAGUCGAGCGAAUGGAUUAAGAGCUUGCUCUUAUGAAGUUAGCGGCGGACGGGUGAGUAACACGUGGGUAACCUGCCCAUAAGACUGGGAUAACUCCGGGAAACCGGGGCUAAUACCGGAUAAUAUUUUGAACUGCAUGGUUCAAAAUUGAAAGGCGGCUUCGGCUGUCACUUAUGGAUGGACCCGCGUCGCAUUAGCUAGUUGGUGAGGUAACGGCUCACCAAGGCAACGAUGCGUAGCCGGCCGGAGAGGGUGAUCGGCCAAACUGGGACGGCGACACGGCCCAGACUCCUACGGGAGGCAGCAGUAGGGAAGCUUCCGCAAUGGACGAAAGUCUGACGGAGCAACGCCGCGUGAGUGAUGAAGGCUUUCGGGUCGUAAAACUCUGUUGUUAGGGAAGAACAAGUGCUAGUUGAAUAAGCUGGCACCUUGACGGUACCUAACCAGAAAGCCACGGCUAACUACGUGCCAGCCGCCGCCGUAA